rnacentral:rRNA from 1 species
GCGACCCCAGGAUGAGCGAGGCCACCCGCUGAGUUUAAGCAUAUC